GACAGACUGUGAUGCUGUGACAGACGAAAGUGUGCUAUAUCAUCCAUUUCAAACCUCGUCUCUCUCCUUCCCUUUCUGACCUGGACCUGGAUGCUUCAGUGCCCUGACUACAGCUAAACAGCAGAAUAGUUUAAUAAUGAGGAAAACUGACCAAAGUGGCAGGACAGUAUAAAUAAAGAUGUUAUUGACAUUU